rnacentral:rRNA from 1 species
AUGGACUCCACCACCAACCAAUUCGCCGGCGCCGCCGCUGGCGCGUCAUCGGCGAACACGGCACCGCUGCCGGCCAUGCUCGCUGACGCCCUUAUCGGCGCCGGAGCCGGAGGAGGAGAUGGGGACCCCAGCGCCGCUCUCCAACGGCUGGCGGCCCUCGGCGAUCGCAUGGCUGCUGUCCGGCGCCUCCUCGUCGCCUCCAUUUCUGGGGAAUCGCAGCCCCUCUCCUCCUCGGAUAUUCAGUCCGUGUCCUCCGAGAUCUCAUCUGCCGCUCACCUCGUCGUCCUCAACGCCGCCUCCCUCCUUUCUUCCUCCCUCCCUUUUCCCGCCCCAUCUGCCACUCCUGCCCCUCCCGCUCCUAUCCAAGAGCUUCCCGCCGCGGCCUCCACCGCCGAUGUGCUUCCCCAAGAAGCUACCAAGGGCUACGAUGUCGUGGAGCUCGAUGCCGACGAGCUGCUCGCGGAGCAUGUCCACUUCUGCAAUAUCUGCGGCAAGGGCUUCCGCCGCGACGCCAACCUCAGGAUGCACAUGCGCGCACACGGCGACCGAUUCAAGACCCUGGACGCGCUCUCCCGGCCCGGUCAGGCAAAGCCAGCUGAUGGCCGCGAUGUGCGCUUUUCCUGUCCUUUCACGGGGUGCAACCGGAACCGUGCGCACCGCCGCUUCCGGCCGCUCAAGUCAGCGGUGUGCGCGCGCAACCACUUCCGCCGCAGCCACUGCCCCAAACUCUACGCGUGUGAGCGCUGCGGUGGCAAGAAGCGUUUUGCUGUUCUUGCCGAUCUCCGCGGCCACCUCCGCCACUGCGGUGAGGAGGCACAGUGGCGCUGCUCCUGCGGCACCACUUUCUCCCGCAAGGACAAGCUGUUCGGCCAUCUCGCCCUCUUUGAAGGCCAUAUGCCAGCCAUGUCCCCUCCGAACAAGGAUGCAGUGACAACGACUACAGAGGCACCCCUUGAUAUAAUGGAUGAAGGAGGAAUCGAAGAGCAGGAAGAUGGCGGUGAAGGUGGUUUUGAUCCGGAGUUCUUCAAGGAGUGGAUGGAGGAGCUCAAAGAUGAUGGCGUGCCUGCUGGUGGCACAGUCUGGCCUGGACGGGCAGCAGCUGGGCAAUAG